rnacentral:rRNA from 1 species
UAGUCAUAUGCUUGUCUCAAAGAUUAAGCCAUGCAAGUCUCUGUAUAAGCAAUUAUACUGUGAAACUGCGGAAAGCUCAUUAUAUCAGUUAUAGUUUAUUUGAUGGUAGCCUCACUACAUGGAUAACCGUAGUAAUUCUAGAGCUAAUACAUGCCCAGAAGCAGCGACUUCGGAAGCUGUGGACUUAUUAGAUCAAAGAGCUGACCCUCUUCGGAGGAUUAAGCUGAAUCAUAGUAAUUUCGCUGAUCGCAGCAACCUUUUGGUUGGCGAUAGGUCAUACAAAUUUCUGCCCUAUCAGCUUUGAUGUUAGUGUAGUGGACUAACAUGGCAUAAACGGGUGACGGAGGAUUAGGGUCUGAUUCCGGAGAGGGAGCCUGAGAAAUGGCUACCACUUCCAAGGAAGGCAGCAGGCGCGUAAAUUACCCAAUCCCGACACGGGGAGGUAGUGACAAGAAAUAACAAUACUGGAUCUUUUUAGUUCUGGUAAUUGGAAUGAGUACAACCUAAAACCCUUAACAAGGAACAAUUG